rnacentral:lncRNA from 1 species
UUGCAGGGUGAUAUUGUGGGCAUUAGCCUUCAUUUUGCGACUUUAAAAUGUGUCUAUUUAUACGAAAAUAUUAAGGUAUCGAAGUGGUAUUUGAUUCCAACAUAUAUAGAUAUACACAAAUGGGAUCAGCGGAUAAAUAAUGGAAUAAAAAAAAUUGUAUAUGUGAUAUUGGUAUCUUUUUUAUGGCUAUAAAAAAAAAAAAAAAAAAAAAAAAAAAAAAAAAAAAAAAAAGGUCCCUUGAUAUGGGAAAGGGCCCCCUAUUUAUUUUGGGAAAAUUUUUUUUUUUCUAAAAGGGCCAAAAAUUUUUUUUUGUUUUCAUAGGGUCCCAGGGCCUUCCAAACCCCAUCGGGGAUAAAUUAAACGGAGGCAUCUUGUUCCUUUUUGGAUUGAUUUAAAUUGAAAAAAAUUGCCCCUUUUGGACCUUUUCGAAUUUAAUUUGUUUCUUUCUUUUAAAAAAAAUUGUGGGUUUAUUUUUGGAAGUUGUUUUUAAAAGUAGUUUUUUUUUUUUUUUAAGAAAAAAAAAACAAAAAAUUAUUUUUUUGUUUUUAAAAAUAAAAAACAAAAGGAUUUUUAAAAAAAUUUUUUAAUUUUUAUUUUUUAAAUUAUUUUUAAAAANNNNNNNNNNNNNNNNNNNNNNNNNNNNNNNNNNNNNNNNNNNNNNNNNNNNNNNNNNNNNNNNNNNNNNNNNNNNNNNNNNNNNNNNNNNNNNNNNNNNAGGAUGAGACAAGUAUCUCCCGUAAGCAGAUGCUUGCUCGGCUUGAUGUCUGCAUGGGUGGCCGAGUUGCAGAAGAGCUUAUCUUUGGAGAGAGUGAGGUCACUUCUGGUGCAUCUUCUGAUCUCCAGCAAGCAACUUCCCUUGCAAGAGCAAUGGUUACAAAGUUUGGUAUGAGCAAAGAAGUUGGGGUUGUUACUCACAACUAUGACGAUAAUGGAAAGAGCAUGAGCACUGAGACUAGGCUCCUUAUUGAAAAGGAAGUAAAGCAUUUCUUGGAAAAAGCCUAUAACAAUGCUAAAACCAUCCUCACUACUCACAGCAAGGAGCUGCAUGCUCUAGCUAAUGCCCUGCUUGAGCAUGAGACACUUACAGGAAAUCAGAUAAAGGCUCUGCUUGCACAGGUCAACUCCCAGCAGCCGCAUCAGCAACAACAACAGCAAUUGGUUACAUCACAGAGCACUUCACAGUCUAAUCCAGUGCCUCCCUCAACACCCAAUGCAGCCGCAUCUGCUGCUGCUGCUGCAGCUGCAGCAGCAGCUGCUGCAACUGCUGCAGCCAAGGCCAAAGGCAUUGCCCCUGUGGGAUCUUAGCAUGAAACAGCUGGUAAGACUCUUUCCAAGUAGUAGCUAUCAGUAUCAAUGUGCAUAUGGCAAUUUACUUAAAACCCUUCUGUUUCCAAGAACGACCAUGCUAGUUUCAUUGCUGCCUACUUGCAGUGAUGUCCAAUUUAUGUAAUCAUCAUGAGCUCGGAAGUGAUCGAAAGCUGUAGGAGAUUAAUGGCAGAACCCAGAUCGUAGCAGUUAUAAUUUAUGCCCAUUGGAAAGUGUCGUCUGUCCCCUUUCAUUUUAGUGCCACAAAACUGACUAUACUGUCUAUUUGAAUUUUGUUCACCUUCACAACAUUUGUAAAGCACUUACCAUGAGUUACUCUCUCUUUCCUCUUCUUUCUCAUAAUUGCCUGUGUGGAUUCAUGACAAAACAAAAUGAAUCAGAGUUAUUAGAGAUUAUCAUAAGAAGGGCUUGUCUUCAACAUUAUCUGGGUUCAACCAUUGCUGGAACCUGAUACAUAUACAUUCACUCAGCUUUUUAUUCACCCUACUCUUUUCUAGUGUUUUGAUGUUCAGACCAAGGUCUGUUGCCUUGAAAUUUUCUUUCCAUUCUCAGUGGUCUUCUCUGUGUUAUGAGGUAUCUGCUGCAAUUUCCAUUUUUAAUGGGAGUUUUGAGACUUGAUCUGGAAAAAAUUGCUGAAUUUAAGUUUGUAAGCUUGGUGAUGUUUACCCAAAGAGAGGAAAAUUCUUGCAGGGUGAUAUUGUGGGCAUUAGCCUUCAUUUUGCGACUUUAAAAUGUGUCUAUUUAUACGAAAAUAUUAAGGUAUCGAAGUGGUAUUUGAUUCCAACAUAUAUAGAUAUACACAAAUGGGAUCAGCGGAUAAAUAAUGGAAUAAAAAAAAUUGUAUAUGUGAUAUUGGUAUCUUUUUUAUGGCUAUAAAAAAAAAAAAAAAAAAAAAAAAAAAAAAAAAAAAAAAAAAGUACCAUGAUAUCGGAGAUGGACUCCUAUUUAUAUUUGGUAAAUUUUCUUUCUUCUAUAAUGGUCUAGAAUUUCUUCUUGUUUUCAUAGUGUCUCAUGGCCUUCCAAACUCCAUCGAGGAUUAACUUAACUGAUGCAUCUUGUUCACUUUUGGAUUGACUUAAAUUGAUACAAAUUGUCCACUUUGGACCAUUUCGGAUUUGACUUGAUUCAUUCUCUUAGAAAAAAUUGUUGGGUUAUGUUUGGAAGUUGUGUUUAAAAGUAGUUUUUUUGUUUCUUUAAGGAAAAAAGAACGAUAAAUUAGUUUUUUGUUUUUAAAAAUAUAAAACAUAAUGAUUUUUAAAAUAAUAUUUUAAUUAUUAUUUUUUAGAUUAUUUUUAAAAAUAAUUAUAUAAAUAUAAAGAAUGAUUGAAAAUAAAGCAUUGUAAUAAAAUUUAUUUUUAAAAACAUGUUAAACAUGGUAAGAAUAUUUAAAAAAAUUUAACAUAGAGAAUAAUUUUUAAAAAUUAUUUUUGAAAUUUAGUUUCACUUGUUGUCAAAUUAUUUUCAACCAAUGAGAAAAUUUGCAAAUGAUAAAAUUUCAGUUAGGGCCUGUUUAGGAUAAUAUUUUAUUAAAUAUUAAAUAAUUUCUUACAUAAGUUAAAAUAAAGUUUUAAUAAUCAAUAAUUUUAUAAAAAAAUUAUAUUAAGAUCUUUUUUUAAAAAAAUUAAAUUAUUUUAGUAAAAUUAAUUAAAUAUAUGAGAAAGAUUUUAUUGAACUUUUUUAUAAAAAAAAAUUAACUUCUUGAAAAUUAAUCCAAAUAAGAUAAUAUGAUAAUAGUAAUGAAGACAAAAAUUGAAGAACAAGAGUUCUGAGCAUUUUUUAAGUCCUAUAACUUUGAAAAUAAAUAUGAAUUAGAAUUUUUAAGAAAUAGUUCACUUCUGCCACGUGGCAAAUUUUUUUUGCAUAUGAGAGCUCACCAGCCGAGGACAGAACUGGAAAAUCACAGGUUCCCUCCGACUCCAGGGUUUCUCUGAUGUCGGUGACUCGGCCGAGUCCAACUCACCUUGAACGAGUCGGCCCUCCAGGUGAGUCAUCUGGCUUACCCAUGUUUCAAAUCUUCGAUAUCACAUCCAAAUUCGAUGAAACAAUGAUAUUCCCUCAAUACCCGUCUCUGAAUUAUCACAAAUCCACGAUCCUUGUAUGAUCAAACGGCUUGCGAAUGAAUUCUUAUACGUAGGUCUCAAAAAAAAAAAAAAAAAAAGGAAAAUUCGGUAGUUAGUUGGUGGUUUUUCUUGUGUUUGAUGUUCAAAUUUGUUAAAUGGACAUUGAAUUAACGUGGAUUUUAAUGACUGAUUGCUUGAAGAUUUGUGCUUUCAUAUUUGAAGUUAAUUUUCUCCGAAUUUUGUAGUUAAUACCUCUGUUUUCAGUAAUUUCACUGUAAAUGGCUUGUGUGGCUGUUAUUGCAAAUGUGUAAAGAGGGAUUGUUAUAAGAAUAUUUCUUUUGAAUGAUUGUUCAAGAAGAUUUAUGGGGCAACUUUCUUUGGGAUCUUUUGUCUGUUUUAGGGGAUAUUCAUGUUAUGGAGACAUAAUUCUAAUAAAUGGGAAAUGAAAUUGUACGAAAUUAUGAAUGAGUUGAGAAACUAUCAUUUAAGUGAAAAUUAUUAAUGUGCUUAAUUUUGAUGGGAGAAUUUUGAUUUGAUGGUGCUCUAGAGAUUCAUCGUCUGAUCAAUUAAUGUGUGAAGGCUAUUUUUAUUUCAUAUGACUUAUUUCUGGUUGUAUUUAGCUAAAAUUUGUGGUUCUAAUUUCUGAAAUGCAGUAUGUUUUUCUUGUUCCCCGAUGUCUUUGAAAUGCUCCAUGUUGAAUUUAUGAUUUUCUUGUGCGUUUCUCUAUAUCUUUAUUAUAUGUUUUUGUUUCAAAGUUUGCAUAGGGUCUUUAAUGAUUUAAUUUGAAUUGCAACAUUGAAUCUUUUUCCUAUAUCAUCUGCAGUAAUUAAACAACAAAGAGUUGUGAUACAGAACCAACAUGGUGAGAAGCUUGUGGGCAUAUCCCAUGAAAUAGGCUCCAAGGAGCUUGUGAUCUUAUGCCAUGGAUUUCGAUCCUCGAAGGUUGGUAAUCAUGUUAUGUAAAAUACUUGCAACUUUUUACUCGAGAACUAUGAACUGUCAAUGCUUUCUCGCACUUAUGUCCUUAUGUUUCUUUUCCUUGAGAACUAUGAAUUUUCAAUGCUUUAUCAUGCUUAUGUCCUUAUGUUUCUUCCCAUUUUUCUUUUUCCUUUUCUUUUUGUUGCCUAAUAUUGUUAGAUGCCUUGCAGCUUUGGUCCCUUAUUUACACAUACUCUUUGACAAACUGUUUUUUUCAUGCGAGGAUAUGGACUUUAUAUGUGAGGAUCUUGUGUCGAGAUUGAUUUCCAAAAUUCAGAUCUAAUCUUUUCUUUUUGUUUUUUAAUCUCUAGGAGCGCAUUCCUAUGGUGAACCUUGCUGCUGCUUUGGGAAAAGAAGGAAUCAGUGCCUUCCGCUUUGACUUUGCAGGAAACGGGUAAGUCAUCUGUGAGAAAGGGAAGGGGAAAAAAAUUAGAUGGUUAAAUUUGUUAGACUUUGUAUGUGGAUUGGACUUCUUGUGGUUGCUCCUCAAUUAUCAUUCCUCGCAUAUUCUGGUUGAGAAGUACUGAAAUACGCUUUGAGAAUCAGCUGAAUUUGUGCUUUUGUAUCAUAUAUAAUAUGCUUUCAGUUUCAGAGUUGUUCCAAUUGAGUAUGCUCCUUCUGUCUGGAAGUUCUGCAUCAAGAUCAGUAUUUAGGAGUCACUUUGCUUAACCCUUGUUGGUCUUCUGCAGUCUAAAUACUCACACUAGUGGGUAGAGCUUGUUUGUAUUUUUGUAACAGAUCAAUACGUGCCAUGCUUCUUGCAUUUUUCUUAAAUAUGCUUUAUCUGUACUCAGCUCAGAAUCUUUCAGGUUUUUUAUACAUAUCUUAGAGAAGGAUGGCGUCUAAUGGUUGUGUCUCAUUCAGAUGUCUUUGUUUGAAGGAUUGAAAGUGCAGGGUGAAAGAUACAGUAAAUUCAAGCAAAUAAUUUUCCUUUAGCUCCCCAAAUUGUCCUCUCCCAUUUUUGCUGUCCAAGAUAGCCCUUUUAAAAUGUCAUUUAAAAGGCUUCUGGAACCUACUUCUCCUUUUAUUGUUUAUAACUACUAAAUUAUUUGGACUUAUUAACAAAAGUAGAGGAACUCAUCAAAAGUUCAAGGGUGAGCUCAUUAGGAGUAAUUUUUGUUUCUGAAUUCCCUUCAAAACAUACCCUUAUUGCUGACAUGACAUAUGAAAUACUUGAUGCUGAUACAAAUAAUGAUAGUGAACUGUUUAUGCUCUGCCUCCCAGGGAAAGUGAAGGUUCAUUUCAGUAUGGUAACUACCGUAGGGAAGCUGAUGAUUUACGUGCUGUAGUACAACACUUUUAUGGGGAAAAACGUGUAAUUAUUGCACUUGUUGGACAUAGUAAAGGUCUGUCUGUUUAUAUCUUCCAUGCUCAAUUUAUUGAACAAAACCCACAAUUUGGACAUAAAAGUGAAGAAUUAUACAUGCAAAUAAAAAAAAAUAUGUUAGUUUUAUCUGAAUCAUUUUUGUUGAGUAUUCAGGUGUCUCUAAAUGCCUUCACUCUAUAGAUCUUCCAUGGUGGAAGUUUAACUUCUUGCAGAACGGCUAAAUAUGACAAUGCAGAUCCCCAAACCAAUAUUCUCUGUGUGGUAUUUGGGCCUAAUAUGAUUAAUGGAAUUGGAAGACAAUAUAACUUGCUUCAUGUGUUUCAUUAUAUGGACGGUUAAAAGUCAUAGAAAGGUAAUUCCUAGUGAAAAACUAUUGAUGAUUGAUUUUCUUUGUUACAUUGCUACUAAAAAUAUCAUAUUCUCACAAGAAACUAUUGAUGAUUAAUUUUCUUUGUUGUACUACUCGUGAUAUUCCCCAACUUCUUGGAUGCAUUGGUUUGUCAAUUUAAGUCAUGUCUCUUUGAACCUGUUAAUAUCAUUAUUUAAGAUUUUAUCCUUGAGCAAAUCUUUUUGGUACAAUGAUAAAGAAGUUAUCCCUUCCAGUUUAUGUUUGUAGUUCAGAAAUAAUAUACUGCCUAUCAUAGGUGUCCUUAAUUUUAGCUAGUAUUGAAAAUUCAUUCAAAUAAUACACCCCUUUAAACUAUAAUGUUGAAUUAUUCUUACAGGAGGAAAUGUGGUGCUGUUGUAUGCUUCAAAAUAUAAUGAUGUCCAUACCAUUGUGAACAUUUCUGGCCGCUUUUAUCUGGAGAGAGGCAUUAAAGGUCGUUUAGGUCAAGAUUUUUUACAAAGAAUCAAGCAAAAUGGAUUUAUUGAUGUUAAGAAUAAAGGGGGUAAGCUAUUAACAUAUGGCUUCUUAUUUUCCUUACUAUCAUGAUUUGUAUGUCGUAUAUGUCAGUGGCUCUGUCAGCAUACAUGGUUCCACUUUUUUUUUUCUAUAUGGAGCUAAAAUUUCUUUUAUGAUCUUAAAAUUUAAAAUUUGGUGGUUCCAUCAGUGCCUUCUUCCAUGAACAUCUACAGUUACAUGCUUUGAAAAAUUGCAUGGACUCAUGGUACCACCCUGAGUUUCAUAGGUAUUUAGAAGGCACCAAGCAUAUGCUAGAGUUCAGAAUAACCAUCUAUGCCUGCUGACAUGUCUAUAUAUUUGCAGGGAAGUUUCAGUAUCGUGUGACUGAAGAAAGUUUGAUAGACCGUCUAACUACGGAUACUCAUGCAACAUGCCUCUUGAUUCAAAAGGAUUGCAGGUCUGAAAGUUCAUCAUUUUUCUUGACAUUUCAGCCAUAUCUAAAUAAUGGAAGAGACAAAUUGCUGGUUAUGAUAAUUUAUGAUCUGUGAAACACCCACUUUGUGGUAUUUAUCUUUCGCCACUAUAUAAGUGUCUCAGAGAUAUAAAUUAUGAUUUUUCCCCAUCCUAUUUUUUAAGUUGUGACUCUUCUCUCUUCAUAAACUGAGUGGGGAAGGACUAGGUCUCUUCUAUGUUUAAAACAUGGGUGUGACAUGCCUGUCCAAAUUUAUUGAUCUGGAGUAUUACUUAUCUAUUCUAUCAACCUUCCUUACACCUCAGGGACAACCAACCAAACUGCAUUGUAACUCGAUAAUGCUCAACUUCAUGAAUUCAUAUCAUGGAAAAUACAAAGAUUUUUUCACAACAAAAUGGACCCAUACUUUUAAUGUCUGUUGCUUGUCACUCUGCUAAACUUAAUUCUUCAUAGGUUUUUGGAUCAUUUCUGAACUCACUGAAUUUUGGGGUUAGUUGUUGGACUUCUUACAAGAAAUUCCUGAUUGAUUCUGAGAUAUUAAAUAAUUAUUGGUUUAGAAAGAUUUGCAAAUCAAAGUUGUUGCCGUGAGUUUUUUGUCUAGACAAUAACAUUUGGUGUUGGGCACCUCUAGAUUGUAUGAUAAAAUACUAUACCAUCUUUGCAGCUAAUUGGCCAUUCAUUCGCCUUUUCAUGAUUUCUAGUCUGAAUUUCUAGCACACAUUGUAAUGUUGCUGCUACUACAGAGUGUUUACGGUUCAUGGUUCCUGUGAUGAAAUGGUGCCAGUGGAAGAUGCUUUGGCGUUCGCCAACAUCAUACCCAAUCACAAGCUACACAUUAUAGAAGGGGCUGAUCAUGAGUUCACUUCACACCAAGGUGAAUUAGCUUCAGUUGUCCUGGACUUUGUAAGAUCAUAUCCACCCUGCAGCAAAGGUAUAUCUGAGCAGUUACCACGAUCAUGCAUAAGAGCAGAUAAUUCUACCCGUUCGCGUCUCUGAUUGUCAGUCUGCAGAUUGAAGAAGCAACUGAGCGAUGAUAACGAAAUCAGAACUAAAUUGUUUGGGGUCAUAGACCUGAUAUUGCAAAUUGAGCUCUUCUAAUUCCACCCAUAUGGAGAAACAAGUUUGGCUCUCUUCUACCUGUAACAUGAUUAUUGAUUCAUAGGCUAUUGUUGAGAUUAGAAGAUAACAAAAGUUUAUAGUUACUGGAGAGCUUCUGUAUGGUUUCUUACAUUUAACUCAACAAGGAAACUGACUCCUGUAUUUAAUUAAUUUUAUGUAAUUUCCAUGCAAAGGAAAUCCAAUUUGUUGGUAAAAACUGUAUGUGGAUGAGAACUGAUUUGUUAAAUUAUACCUGUUGAGGUGUAACAAUGCCUUUUUUAAGUCAGGGAUGGAUCACCUAAAUGACGGGUUUUACCAUAAAAGGUUUGAACUACCUUACUAGACCCCAAUUGAUUUUUAAAAUGAGAUAGUCAAGGCGAUCCAAGAAUACCAAUAAGAAUGAUUUCUGCAUAUUUAGGAAAUGUUUGCUUCUGACUCUACUUGGUAUGUAUAUAUAUAUAUAAUCAUUCUUAUUCUCACUUCUAUCCCAUUAAAGAUGCACUGUGUAGUGAAAUACCAAAGUACAGGUAGACCCUAAAAGUUCAAACAAAAACUCUCAAAACAUUUCUAUUUUUAUAGCCCAGACCCUUCUCUAAAAUAUAACCGGGAGCCCUCAUUAAGGGGUAACCAUAAAUAACAACUUAUAAGAGAUACAACACAGCCUAGAUGAAAAAGGGUACAACAAUGAGAUUGAUGACAACUUUCACUCCGACCAAGAUAAAAGAUCCCAUUGAAAC